AUUGAACGCUGGCGGCAAGCCUAACACAUGCAAGUCGAACGAGUGGCCGACGGGUGAGUAAUGUCUGGGAAACUGCCUGAUGGCUGGGGAUAACUACUGGAAACGGUAGCUAAUACCGCAUACCAUCGGAUGUUCCCAGAUGGGAUUAGCUAGUAGGUGGGGUAAAGGCUCACCAAGGCGACGAUCCCUAGCUGGUCUGAGAGGAUGACCAGCCACACGGGAACUGAGCAACGGUCCAGACUCCUACGGGAGGCAGCAGUGGUGAAUAUUGCACAAUGGGCGCAAGCCUGAUGCAGCCAUGCCGCGUGUAUGAAGAAGGCCUUCGGGUGGUAAAGUACUUUCAGCGGGGAGGCGUUACCCGCAGAAGAAGCACCGGCUAACUCCGUGCCAGCAGCCGCGGUAAUAC
rnacentral:rRNA from 1 species